rnacentral:misc_RNA from 1 species
AAGUCGUAACAAGGUCUCCGUAGGUGAACCUGCGGAGGGAUCAUUACAGAGUUGCAUGCCCUAACCGGGUAGAUCUCCCACCCUAUGUUGUUAUUACUUUGUUGCCUUGGCGGGCCAUCAGGCUCACGCCCGGCUACCGGCUCACGCUGGUAAGCGCCCGCCAGAGAACCCCGAACCCUGAAUAUUAAGUGUCGUCUGAGUACUAUAUAAUUAGCUAAAA